rnacentral:rRNA from 1 species
UGAGGAAUAUUGGUCAAUGGGCGUAAGCCUGAACCAGCCAAGUCGCGUGAAGGAAGACGGCUCUAUGGCCUGUAAACUUCUUUUAUGCAGGAAGAAAAAGGGGGACGCGUCCCCCAUUGCCAGUACUUCAUGGAUUAGCCUUCGGCUAAUUCGGGCCCGCCAGCGCGGGUAACACGGGGGAUGCGAGCGUAUCCCGGAUUCAUGGGGUUUAAAGGGAGGCAGGGCGGCCCGUCAAUUCACGGGGAAAUGUGGGCAGUUAAAGUGCAGCGCGCCGUUGAAACUGCCGGGCUCGAGUGCAGACGAGGUUGGCGGAACAGGUGAAGUAGCGGUGAAAUGCAUAGAUAUCACCUGGAACCCCGACAGCGAAGGCAGCUGACCAGGCUGUAACUGACGCUGAUGCUCGAGAGCGUGGGUAGCGAACAGGAUUAGAUACCCUGGUAGUCCACGCCGUAAACGAUGCUCACUGGCCCUGGGCGACAUACAGUCCGGGGUCGAGCGAAAGUAAAAGUGAGCCACCUGGGGAGUACGUCGGCAACGAUG